UACGGAGGGGGCUAGCGUUGUUCGGAAUUACUGGGCGUAAAGCGCACGUAGGCGGCUUUGCAAGUUAGAGGUGAAAGCCCGGGGCUCAACUCCGGAAUUGCCUUUAAAACUGCAUCGCUAGAAUUGUGGAGAGGUAAGUGGAAUUCCGGGUGGUAGCGGUGGAAUGCGUAGAGAUCCGGAAGAACACCGGUGGCGAAGGCGGCCUGCUGGCAGUUUGCUGACACUGAGGCGCGACAGCGUGGGGAGCAAACAGG
rnacentral:rRNA from 1 species